UACGGAGGGGGCUAGCGUUAUUCGGCAUAACUGGGCGUAAAGGGCACGUAGGUGGUUUAUUAAGUUUUUAGUUAAAUCCCAAAGCUUAACUUUGGUAUGGCUAUUUAUACUAGUAGACUUGAGCUAAAGAUAAGGUAGUAGUACUUUCAUAGUAGCGGUGAAAUGCGUUGAUAAUGAAGGGACUUUCAAUAGGCGAAGGCGGCUAUCUGGCUUUAAGCUGACACUGAGGUGCGAAGGCGUAGGGAGCAAACAGG
rnacentral:rRNA from 1 species